UGCAGUCGAGCGCAUCCUUCGGGGUGAGCGGCGGACGGGUUAGUAACGCGUGGGAACGUGCCCUUCACUGCGGAAUAGUCACUGGAAACGGUGGGUAAUACCGCAUACGCCCUUCGGGGGAAAGAUUUAUCGGUGAAGGAUCGGCCCGCGUCUGAUUAGAUAGUUGGUGGGGUAAUGGCCUACCAAGUCUACGAUCAGUAGCUGGUUUGAGAGGAUGAUCAGCAACACUGGGACUGAGACACGGCCCAGACUCCUACGGGAGGCAGCAGUGGGGAAUCUUAGACAAUGGGCGCAAGCCUGAUCUAGCCAUGCCGCGUGAGUGAAGAAGGCCUUAGGGUCGUAAAGCUCUUUCGCCAGGGAUGAUAAUGACAGUACCUGGUAAAGAAACCCCGGCUAACUCCGUGCCAGCAGCCGCGGUAAUACGGAGGGGGUUAGCGUUGUUCGGAAUUACUGGGCGUAAAGCGCGCGUAGGCGGAUUAUUAAGUUAGAGGUGAAAUCCCAGGGCUCAACCUUGGAACUGCCUUUAAUACUGAUAGUCUUGAGUUCGAGAGAGGUGAGUGGAAUUCCGAGUGUAGAGGUGAAAUUCGUAGAUAUUCGGAGGAACACCAGUGGCGAAGGCGGCUCACUGGCUCGAUACUGACGCUGAGGUGCGAAAGCGUGGGGAGC
rnacentral:rRNA from 1 species